UAAUUUGAAUUAAUUGAAGGAAAUGCUCUCCCUAUGAUAGACUUGUUUCUGAAUAAUUAAUCAUUUCAGCCAGAAAAGUAAACAUUAUGGCCCUGGAUUUUUCUUCUGGUCCUACCAGUGUCAGUCUGGAGCAGUUCUGCUGAUAUGAACUGAAUUAGUGUCAUUCGAGCAAGCUCUGGCCCCAGAUCACCAUGAGGAAAGUACAUUUUGGUCUGUGUUGUGUCAAAAACCUUUGUAGCACUGUAAGCGCUCUCCCCCACCUCUAGUGCCUUAUUUUUCAGAGGAAUGGUUUCCCUCCUCAUCGCCGAAACAUGGCAAUAGUCAGGGUGGGAAUCAAGGACAGCAGGGGCUCAGGAGCCCAUUGGCCGAGGAAGGGGGCUGUAGCAGUGGGGAAAAAAGUCAGUUAAAGGCUGGUAAGAUCCCACCUGGGAUGGGUGGGGAAGUGCCCAGUGGCCAGGAGAAACCUGUGGGGCGGAAGAGGUUAGGGACAUGUGACACCAAUUCUAACAUCCUUUGGCUCCUCAGAGUAUUGGCCUAAAGAGAACUCUGGCAGGUGUGCCUCUGGCUUGUGGUCCAACCCCUCUUCUGCAGUCUGAAAUAGGAGGAAUAAAUAGCUUCUGCCGCUUUAUCCCCCAUCCUCGUGAACGCUGAAUCCUUGAUCCUAGCAUCUUCAUGAGUGUGAUGUGGAAGAGAGGAAAGACAGUGAACAAAGUUGAGGUUCUUCUUCUCUGAAGAACCUCUGGCUGAAAGGAAAGGUACCCAAAGCCUCUAACCAUUGACCUUGAGAACCCGGUGAGGUACCCAACAGUGCUGCUGGCCCCCAGCAUGUGGAACAAUGUGGUGAAAAACACCCAGGAGCAGAAAUCCCACCAAGAAGUUAACCCCCUGAAUGGGCUCAUAGACCUCGUGUUCAGCACAAAAGAGCUGGCAAAGGCCUCAGUAGAGAAAAAAUCAGCUGCCUGUGAAGGUGAAUGCCGGACCUGAUGCCCAGAGCUGCUAUUGACCUGCACCCGAGUCAGAGCCACAUGGUCUGCCUCAGAACAUGCCCCUCACACCUGCCAAGCAUCCUCAUAACCCCACUGCCAACUGCAUGCAGCGCAAUGGUGAAAAGGUGUGUGUGCAAUUAGAAACCAGACUUGCCUGCAGCCCGUUCCUGGCUGCAACAUGAAGGUGAACUAAAAUUACUUCUAAUUAGGACCCCCACCAUCUUGAUUAUAAGAUUUAUCAAGAUUUAAAUCUUGAUAUGGUCGUUGUUUACCAGCUUGCAUCUGUGCAGAUUCAGAACACCACAUAAAUAUUUAUUUAUUUUAAAAUAUCUUCUCACCUCAGUUAAAUUUGUGAAAUUUAAGCAUGUGCUUCAGGCUAAGUAUUGUCCUAAGUGCUGCCUUAGAUACAGUUUCUUCUUUGCUGCCCUUGUGUUAUAAAUCAUGCUACAU